rnacentral:rRNA from 1 species
CCCUGGUGGCGAGUGGCGAACGGGUGAGUAAUACAUCGGAACGUGUCCUGUAGUGGGGGAUAGCCCGGCGAAAGCCGGAUUAAUACCGCAUACGCUCUACGGAGGAAAGGGGGGGAUCUUAGGACCUCUCGCUACAGGGGCGGCCGAUGGCAGAUUAGCUAGUUGGUGGGGUAAAGGCCUACCAAGGCGACGAUCUGUAGCUGGUCUGAGAGGACGACCAGCCACACUGGGACUGAGACACGGCCCAGACUCCUACGGGAGACAGCAGUGGGGAAUUUUGGACAAUGGGGGCAACCCUGAUCCAGCAAUGCCGCGUGUGUGAAGAAGGCCUUCGGGUUGUAAAGCACUUUUGUCCGGAAAGAAAUCUUCUGCCCUAAUACGGCGGGAGGAUGACGGUACCGGAAGAAUAAGCACCGGCUAACUACGUGCCAGCAGCCGCGGUAAUACGUAGGGUGCAAGCGUUAAUCGGAAUUACUGGGCGUAAAGCGUGCGCAGGCGGUCCGCUAAGACAGAUGUGAAAUCCCCGGGCUUAACCUGGGAACUGCAUUUGUGACUGGCGGGCUAGAGUAUGGCAGAGGGGGGUAGAAUUCCACGUGUAGCAGUGAAAUGCGUAGAGAUGUGGAGGAAUACCGAUGGCGAAGGCAGCCCCCUGGGCCAAUACUGACGCUCAUGCACGAAAGCGUGGGGAGCAAACAGGAUUAGAUACCCUGGUAGUCCACGCCCUAAACGAUGUCAACUAGUUGUCGGGUCUUCAUUGACUUGGUAACGAAGCUAACGCGUGAAGUUGACCGCCUGGGGAGUACGGUCGCAAGAUUAAAACUCAAAGGAAUUGACGGGGACCCGCACAAGCGGUGGAUGGUGUGGAUUAAUUCGAUGCAACGCGAAAAACCUUACCUACCCUUGACAUGUCUAGAAUUUUGCAGAGAUGUGAAAGUGCUCGAAAGAGAACUAGAACACAGGUGCGGCAUGGCCGUC